UACGAAGGGGGCUAGCGUUGCUCGGAAUCACUGGGCGUAAAGCGCACGUAGGCGGGUCGUUAAGGCGGGGGUGAAAUCCUGGAGCUCAACUCCAGAACUGCCUUCGAUACUGGCGAUCUUGGAGUCCGGGAGAGGUGGGUGGAACUGCGAGUGUAGAGGUGAAAUUCGUAGAUAUUCGCAAGAACACCAGUGGCGAAGGCGGCUCACUGGCCCGGUACUGACGCUGAGGUGCGAAAGCCAGGGGAGCGAAUGGG
rnacentral:rRNA from 1 species